GACCUCCAGUGUGAGAGUAAGAGAAUUUGGGUGAGAGCGAGAGACAUGGUCGCACAGUGAGAGAGAUGGAAAGAGUUUCUGGUUUAGGUCAGGUGCAUCCAUGUCCGCUGCUGGGCCACGCACACACACACACACACACACACACACACACAUACACAUAUGUAUAUACAUAUAUA